rnacentral:lncRNA from 1 species
CGGUCCGGGUCGGCUGGGCUGCCCGCCGCUCCGCGCGCCCGGGCGGUCGCAGGUCGCGCCUGCUUUGGCCCCGGCGGGUUCGGCAUCCGAGCCUGGCAGGGGCCAAUAGAAAGUUUCCUACACUACUGAGGUUUAGGGGCACUGUGAAGCAAAAGCCACGCCUCAGAAUCCCAGGCGGAGACUCCGACCUCGUCCCGGGAGGGAAGCCAGUAGCUGAGCACCUGCGGGAGAUUAAAGAGAGGAAUAAGGAGAAACACUGGAAGGCAAGUGGCUGCUGACUGGAGGAGAUAAUUGGAUGCUGCAAGCGGCAAAGGGCUCGGGAUGCAAAACACCGCAAGAAAUGCAACAAGUGAGGAGCAUUCCCGCAAAGAAAAAACGCACAGGCCGAGAGCAGUGGCUCACGCCUGUAAUCCCAGCAGUUUGGGAGGCCGAGGCAGGUGCAUCGCUUGAGGACAGGAGUUCGAGACUAGGCUGGCCAACAUGGUGAAACCCCAUCUCUACUAAAAAUACAAAAAAAAAAAAAA